rnacentral:lncRNA from 1 species
UGAAUGUUGUUUUUUUUUUUUUUGAGAAAAGAAUGUUGUUUUUUUUUUUUUCUUUUUAAGAAAACGGUAGCUUGUUAUCAUUUUAUUCAUUUAGAAGAUGAACUAAUUUUUUAAGAAAUAGAUAACACGCUACCCUCUUCAUUCAAUAAGAAAAUGAAUUUAGCUACAUUGAUUGAGACAGCCAUAGCCUCGGGAUGGGAAACAAAUACGAUUGAAAAAAUAAAGCAAAUGCGUAACUGA